rnacentral:rRNA from 1 species
GACGAACGCUGGCGGCGUGCUUAACACAUGCAAGUCGAACGGCAAGGCCCUUCGGGGUACACGAGUGGCGAACGGGUGAGUAACACGUGGGUGAUCUGCCCUGCACUUCGGGAUAAGCCUGGGAAACUGGGUCUAAUACCGGAUAGGACUCCUGGCUUCAUGGUUGGGGGUGGAAAGCUUUUGCGGUGUGGGAUGGGCCCGCGGCCUAUCAGCUUGUUGGUGGGGUAAUGGCCUACCAAGGCGACGACGGGUAGCCGGCCUGAGAGGGUGACCGGUCACACUGGGACUGAGAUACGGCCCAGACUCCUACGGGAGGCAGCAGUGGGGAAUAUUGCACAAUGGGCGCAAGCCUGAUGCAGCGACGCCGCGUGAGGGAUGACGGCCUUCGGGUUGUACACCUCUUUCAGCUAUGACGAAGCGCAAGUGACGGUAGUAGCAGAAGAAGGACCGGCCAACUACGUGCCAGCAGCCGCCGUAA